rnacentral:rRNA from 1 species
AUGACAGCCCUAUGGGUUGUAAACUUCUUUUGUACGGGAAGAAACGCUUCUACGUGUAGAGGUUUGACGGUACCGUACGAAUAAGCAUCGGCUAACUCCGUGCCAGCAGCCGCGGUAAUACGGAGGAUGCAAGCGUUAUCCGGAUUUAUUGGGUUUAAAGGGUACGUAGGCGGGAGCUUAAGUCAGUGGUGAAAUCCUGCAGCUUAACUGUAGAACUGUCAUUGAUACUGGCUUUCUUGAAUGUAGUUGAGGUAGGCGGAAUGUGUAAUGUAGCGGUGAAAUGCUUAGAUAUUACACAGAACACCGAUUGCGAAGGCAGCUUACUAAACUACGAUUGACGCUGAGGUACGAAAGCGUGGGGAGCGAACAGGAUUAGAUACCCUGGUAGUCCACGCUGUAAACGAUGAUCACUCGUUGUUGGCAAUACACCGUCAGCGACUGAGCGAAAGCAUUAAGUGAUCCACCUGGGGAGUACGACCGCAAGGUUGAAACUCAAAGGAAUUGACGGGGGCCCGCACAAGCGGAGGAACAUGUGGUUUAAUUCGAUGAUACGCGAGGAACCUUACCUGGGCUUAAAUGUAGAACGACGGACCGGGAAACUGGUCUUUCUUCGGACGGUCUGCAAGGUGCUGCAUGGCUGUCGUCAGCUCGUGCCGUGAGGUGUCGGGUUAAGUCCCAUAACGAGCGCAACCCUCAUCAUUAGUUGCCAGCGGGUAAUGCCGGGGACUCUAAUGAAACUGCCGGUGUCCACCGAGAGGAAGGUGGGGAUGACGUCAAGUCAGCACGGCCCUUAUGUCCAGGGCUACACACGUGUUACAAUGGUCGGUACAAAGGGCAGCUACCUGGCGACAGGAUGCUAAUCUCGAAAACCGAUCUCAGUUCGGAUCGAAGUCUGCAACUCGACUUCGUGAAGCUGGAUUCGCUAGUAAUCGCGCAUCACCCAUGGCGCGCUGAUACGUUCCCGGGCAUGUACACACCGCCCGUCAAGCCAUGGAAGCUGGGGGUACCUGAAGUCCGUA